ACUUGAAAUGUCUGUUGUAACAGUAUAUGUAUACAUGUAUUGAGCUUCUGGAAUAUUUCAGAUCAUCUCCUUUCUAUGGCCAAGUAAUGAUAUCCAAUUAAAUCUUGUACGUUAUAUUCAUUCAUUUCCUUAUUUAGGGAAAGACAAUGGCGAUAAAAUACCUGAAAGUUCAGAGACCUCUUCGCGAUCAGCAUAGCUGGGAGUUUCUACGGUAAAAUGAAGAUGCAUACGAGGGUUGUCCAAAAAGUUCGUUGACAAUGACGUUUUUGUUAAAAUAAAUGGUUUAAUAUGCAUCUAUUGUAUGUCAAAAUAUUUCUUAUGAAAAACCUAGUCAGAUUUAUAUAGUUUUUAUUGGUGAAACUUAAUAUUUUUUGUAAAAUUCGGGGUCUUUUAUGAUCGCAGAUUGUGUGCACGGACCAGCCUGACGUUACGCUAAUUUUAUUACAACGUCAAACAUUUGGAUUUAGCAAAUGCAAUAUAUAUAGACUUAGUUUAAAAAAAAAGGUAUAACAAGUAAAUGGGGUCUAAGAAUACAAACUCCUAAAUGAAACUUUGACAAGUUUUGAGAAAGAAGAAAUUAUAUAUCCAAAAAAACGUGUAAUUCAAUUGAAUGGUCAAUUCCAGAAUGUUAAUCACUUGCUUUUAAUAUCAACGAGAAAAUGGGUUCAAUUUCACCAAUGUAUUAUUACAAUAAGUACAAAUCCUGUUAUUCAAAAACUAAAGGUUGUGAAAAUAAAAUAUUUGAAUAUUGUAUAAAACACUGAAUAUUCUGAUCAAAGGAAAUAUUUCCAUUUACCACAUAACUUUUAAAUAUCGUAAAAUAUCAUUUAAUGCAUUACAUUAUGCAAAUUCAUCAGUAUAAAAUAAUUUACUUAUCACUAAAAACAUUUCUAUUCUUAAUAUUCAAAUGAAAUUCUAUUUCAACACAAAUAGACGUCACAAUACAUGUAUACACAAAUUUCACUAAACACAAUUCUUAAUAAAUGUACCGUCGCCUGAGAAUUAUAAGGUUCUAACUGAAUUUUGUAAAAUUUUGGGAAAUUGAAGUUAAAGUUCGGGGAUGAAUAUCUUUUUACUCAUAGCAUUCUGGACUAUGAUAUAAGGCAUAAAUGCAUAAAAUGAGAUAAUCUACGGGAAAAUAAAUUUAAUGUUUAGCAAAUUUGAGCAUGAAUAUGAAACAAAUGACAUUGAAAAUGGGGAUAGAACUUUUUUUCAAAUAUUUUUGCGCAUUUUGGUGAGAAUUAAAAUACUCCUGGAGAUAGAACUUUUAUUUUUGGAGAAAACUGAUAAAAUGUUUCACUUUUUGAACAAAAGAUUAAUGUGAAAAUAGUAGGGGGCGUUCAUUUCAUUGGGGGCUGUUUUUUUAAUUCACUCAAUUGAUUUUUUUUAACAAAAAAAUUCUAUUGUGCAUUUUUGAUUGAUUAGAAACGUUAACAUCAUUUUACAACAACAACAAUCAUACAUAACAAAAGGAGAAAGAAAGUUUCUGAUCUUUUUGAAAAAAAAAAAUAAGUUGAACAACAAGAGAAUAUCACCUGAACUUUCCGGUGCGUUUUGCUAGCCGUUUCCAUUGUUCUGGUCGGUAACUUCUUCAAACGUAAAUUGUUAAACAUUUUCAGUUUCUACUCCUGAAUAACAAUACCAAUGCACUUCAACCAAUUGUAGGGUAUUAGAAUAUCAUUAAUGGAUAAAAAAUAUUCAGGUAAUAUUAUUAAAUCAAACAAAUUAUCUAAUUGUGAAUUUUCAUGUUCUCUGACAUUCUUGGGUUUGAUAGAAAUGGAUGAAGAGAAGGUUGUUAAAGAUGCUUCAAAACCUUUCUUCUUUCCUAAUUGAUAUCUACCAGGCAAAUGUUUGCUUAAUUAUAAAUCGCCCUUUACCAAAACUAUGAAAACCAAGUCCUUGUCCCUGUGUCAAUGUUUUUCAGCCCUUAUGGUUCUCAUUGUUUAUAUAUAUGAAAAAUAUUAAAAGAUGAGCAUCAACAGGCAACUUUUUAUAUGAUAAAAAUAAACACAGCCUUCUAAAAAGAUAGCCCUUGGUUCAGACCCUUGGGUAGGACUAAAUUGGAUGUAAAUUAAAAUACAUAACCCAUUAAAAUAUCUUCCCUACAUGUACUUAUGUAGAACACAACACAAAUGAUGGACAUGUAUAUACCCAGUUUCUUUAACAAAAACUUUUUAAAAAGUUAUGGCUCGUGGUCCUAGCAUUCGGACCCAAUUGCAAUCUGGGCCACUGGCCAUUAAAAUAGGCUCUAAAUUCCUUUCCAAAAAUUUUCAAAUCUAUGUCAUUAUUUUGUAUCCAGCGCUCAUGCCUCAGGGUGAGGCUAAAUUGGUCAUCUGUUGAAAUUUAUUAUAUAAUAUCCCUGAGUUUUAAGAGGAAAGCUGCCUAAAAAUGAUUAUAACAGCCUCUCAAAACUAAUUUUGUGAGACCAGAGGUCCAGUUCUUUUGUACUAAAAUGCGAUUGCUUCAGAAACCAAUGAUACCCAGCUGACCGUCAUCACAUGCUUCAGCAAAGUCUCAAACUGAAUUUAUAAAUACCUUUCUUUAAAUAUGAAUAAGUUUAAGUAUCUUCACAGUGACCCCCCCCCCCCCCCAUCAAGUUUUCCAUUGAUAAGAUCACGUGUCCAAAGGUAUGCAUUAUGAUUGGAUAUUAUGGAGAUAGAACCCUCUAAUAUUUAUUAAUUUGCAUAAAAUGGAGAUAGAACUAAAAUUACUGUUAAUGUCUUCUUCAUUUUUGUCCAAAGGAACAAAGGGAUUUCAUCAGGAGAUUAAUUGAUUGUAUGUUGUUUAACGUCCCUCUCGAGAAUUUUUCACUCAUAUGGAGACGCCACCAAUUGCCGGUGGAGGGCUACAAAUUUUGUCCUAUGCUCGGCACUCAGGGCCUUUGAGCAGUGAGUGAUCUUUUUCCUGCCAGCACCUACUGCGACACAGGGCCUCGGUUUAUACGUCUCAUCCGAAAGACCGGUCUCCACGUCCCACAGUGGGACUCAAACCCGCGACGUAAAGAUUGACUCCUUACUUCGCGACUCUAGUUCAUAGGGAGAUAGAUCUCAGCGAGCCGAUUCCAACGAUAUGCAUAACUCUUUUUGACCAUGUUGGCACAUAGAACCUUAUAAUUCUCAGGCGACGGUAUGGUUUAUGAACCUAGCUGAUCUGUAUAUGAUUCCCUUCUCAGUCAGCCAUAUCUAUGAUAAAUUAUCAUAAAAUAAGUAUGACUUAUUAUUGACAACGUAUUUAAAACGUAUGAAAGAUAACUGUUUACUCAAAUCUCAUUCACAUAAUUUUCACACUUAAUGCUCAUAAUAAAUAUUGUUAAAAAUUUUAAUAAAGUUAACUGUUUAUCUGUUUAAUAUUUGUCCAAAUGUUCCAAAGUUCUGGUAAAUCAAAAAUUAAGAGAUCAAUACUGGAGUCAAUCAAUACUCUGCUCAAUUCUUAAGGAUCUUUUUUAAGUGUCUAAAAAUACAACAGUAGUAAACUUCUCACCAAUCAUGGGUUAAUUUAUACAUGAAUAGCACGCUUGACCAAAUGGGAAGCACUGUGGAAAAGCCUUUGUGUAAUAAAUAUAUACAAACCCUUAUUCUUAAUACUUGGUAUGGAAAAAAAUUAUGAAAAAAAUUUGAAAAUUAAUUCAAAUGUUUUUUUUUUUUAAUAAGUGAUACCUCUAUUGAUAAAAACACGCUGUCACAAGCUUAUAAUCGUAUGAUGGACGGUAUACGAAAACCCAGAUUACACUGUAUAUAU